rnacentral:lncRNA from 1 species
AAAACGUAUCAAUAUUAAUUAAAUAUGAUGAAGAUCUUAGACACAUUGUUGAUUCUAUAUUUGAAUCUAUUGUAAGUGUGUUGCAUUGUUAUGGUCCUAAUAUAAAAAUUUUAUGUAUUAUUUUGAUUAUACUUAUAAUAGUACAUUACAUAUGUUAUACCACGUUUCAUGUUGCGUAUUUAUAUAUCUAGUGUAAUUUAAUUUUAUUGUAGAUGGUCUUGAUUUCUUUGUGCAUGCAUGUAAUUGAGA